GUAGGUGGCAAGCGUUGUCCGGGAAUUAUUGGGGCGUAAAGCGCGCGCAGGCGGUUCUUUAAGUCUGAUGUGAAAGCCCACGGGCUCAACCGUGGAGGGUCAUUGGAAACUGGAGAACUUGAGUACAGAAGAGGAAAGCGGAAUUCCACGUGUAGCGGUGAAAUGCGUAGAGAUGUGGAGGAACACCAGUGGCGAAGGCGGCUUUCUGGUCUGUAACUGACGCUGAGGCGCGAAAGCGUGGGGAGCAAACAGGAUUAGAUACCCUGGUAGUCCACGCCGUAAGCGAUGAGUGCUAAGUGUUAGGGGGUUUCCGCCCCUUAGUGCUGCAGCUAACGCAUUAAGCACUCCGCCUGGGGAGUACGGCCGCAAGGCUG
rnacentral:rRNA from 1 species